rnacentral:rRNA from 1 species
UGAGGAAUAUUGGUCAAUGGGCGAGAGCCUGAACCAGCCAAGUAGCGUGCAGGAUGACGGCCCUAUGGGUUGUAAACUGCUUUUAUAUGGGAAUAAAGUGAGGGACGUGUCCCUUAUUGCAUGUACCAUACGAAUAAGGACCGGCUAAUUCCGUGCCAGCAGCCGCGGUAAUACGGAAGGUCCAGGCGUUAUCCGGAUUUAUUGGGUUUAAAGGGAGCGUAGGCCGCCAGAUAAGCGUGUUGUGAAAUGUACCGGCUCAACCGGUGAAUUGCAGCGCGAACUGUUUGGCUUGAGUGCACGGUAAGCAGGCGGAAUUCAUGGUGUAGCGGUGAAAUGCUUAGAUAUCAUGAAGAACUCCGAUUGCGAAGGCAGCUUGCUGCAGUGCGACUGACGCUGAUGCUCGAAGGUGCGGGUAUCAAACAGG